rnacentral:rRNA from 1 species
CAAAACUUCAAAAAUAGGUCUCAGUUCGGACUGUAGGCUGCAACUCGCCUACACGAAGUUGGAAUUGCUAGUAAUCGUGGAUCAGCAUGCCACGGUGAAUACGUUCCCGGGUCUUGCACACACCGCCCGUCACACCAUGGGAGCUGGUAACACCCGAAGUCAGUAGUCUAACCGCAAGGAGGACGCUGCCGAAGGUAGGAUUGGCGACUGGGGUGAAGUCGUAACAAGGUAGC